GCUUGCUGCUUCGCUGACGAGUGGCGGACGGGUGAGUAAUGUCUGGGAAACUGCCUGAUGGAGGGGGAUAACUACUGGAAACGGUAGCUAAUACCGCAUAACGUCGCAAGACCAAAGAGGGGGACCUUCGGGCCUCUUGCCAUCGGAUGUGCCCAGAUGGGAUUAGCUUGUUGGUGGGGUAACGGCUCACCAAGGCGACGAUCCCUAGCUGGUCUGAGAGGAUGACCAGCCACACUGGAACUGAGACACGGUCCAGACUCCUACGGGAGGCAGCAGUGGGGAAUAUUGCACAAUGGGCGCAAGCCUGAUGCAGCCAUGCCGCGUGUAUGAAGAAGGCCUUCGGGUUGUAAAGUACUUUCAGCGGGGAGGAAGGGAGUAAAGUUAAUACCUUUACUCAUUGACGUUACCCGCAGAAGAAGCACCGGCUAACUCCGUGCCAGCAGCCGCGGUAAUACGGAGGGUGCAAGCGUUAAUCGGAAUUACUGGGCGUAAAGCGCACGCAGGCGGUUUGUUAAGUCAGAUGUGAAAUCCCCGGGCUCAACCUGGGAACUGCAUCUGAUACUGGCAAGCUUGAGUCUCGUAGAGGGGGGUAGAAUUCCAGGUGUAGCGGUGAAAUGCGUAGAGAUCUGGAGGAAUACCGGUGGGCGAAGGCGGCCCCCUGGACGAAGACUGACGCUCAGGU
rnacentral:rRNA from 1 species